rnacentral:lncRNA from 1 species
GAGUCUAUGAUGAUAUUAUAUGAGUUAAGCACGUGCCAUGUGAGUGUGAGAAUGUUGUAUAUUCCAUGUUGCAUGUGAUGUCUAAAACUUGCUCGGUGGUUGUGUGAAGCAAAAUAAAGAGUAUGGAUUUAGGAGAAGAUUUAGGCAUUUCAUUGAUAGCCUUGUUUUAUACCUUCUAUUUGUCCUACCCAUGUGCAUUAUCCUAG